AUGGCGACAAUGCGGCCUCAAACAAUCCUACUACCGCCGCGCAUCGACCCCAUGUUCAUCACCGAUGGCAAUGAAGGUUCACCCGUAAACGACAUCAGUGACAGUAAGCGCUUCUACUGUGCCAAGUGCAUGCAUGUGGUGCCAUGUGCAUGUAUGAGGUACAACUUCACCAUGUGCGACCACGACUUCUGCUCGAGGUGUGUCUCCAUGAAGCUGCGCCAGAACAUUGACUGCGUCAAAUGUACUGGAGAGAGCUCGACAGCGUCGGAGGAAUAUCGCGGCGUGACAAUGUUGCGUUACCCCUUUAUACUCAGGCCUGAAACGGUCCUAGUAUCGUCGCGCAUUGCCCCUUUGUUCAUCACUGAUGGCAAUGAAGAUUCACCGGUGGACGACAUCACUGAUGGCAAGCGCUUCUUUUGUGCCAAGUGCAUGCAUGUCGUGCCAUGUGCAUGUAUAAGGCCCAACUUCACCACAUGCGACCAUGACUUCUGCUCGAGGUGUGUUGGCUUGAAGCUGUGCCAGAACGUCCCUCGUGUCAAAUGUACCGUGGACAACUCAACGGCGGCGGAGAGAUACCGCAGCAUGGCGACGGUGCGGCCUGAAACUGUAUCAUCGCGCAUUGACCCUAAGUUCGUUACCGGUGGCAAUGAAGAUUCACCGCUGGUGGACGGCAAUGACAUCGGCGAUGGUAAGCACUUCUACUGUGCUAAGUGCAUGCAUGUGGUGCCAUGUGCAUGUAUACGGGCCAACUUCAGGAUGUGCGACCACGACUUCUGCUCAAGGUGUGUCGCCGUGAAGCUAGGCCAGAACAUCGCUCGCAUCGGAUAUUCUGACGGUGAGGACGGUGAUGAUGAUCUGUUCUAUUGCAACAUUUGCAUGGAGAUGGUGGCGAGGACCCUAAAGUUCAGCGUCAACUCGUGUGGGCACGUCUUCUGCUCGAGCUGUAUCACCCAGUACAUCGCCACGAAGCUGGACAACAAUGUAGCACGCGUCGAAUGCCCUGACCCAAGCUGCAAGGGCGGUGUCGUUGAGCUGGAGAGGUGCCAUGACAUCAUUCCCCCAGACCUCCUCGACAAAUGGGGUUUCCUGCUGUGCGAAUCUGCACUUGGCACCAAGAGGAUAUAUUGUCCAUACAGAGAAUGCUCGGCGCCUCUGCUUUCUGACAGCGAGGCCGGGGCGGCUGCGGUCACGGAGGCGGAGUGCCCGCACUGCCACCGGCUUUUCUGCGCCCGGUGCACUGUGCCAUGGCAUGGCGGCAUCACUUGCAAUGAGUUCCAGAAGCUCGGACUGGACGAGCGCGGCCCGGAGGACAUCUUGCUCAGGCGUCUCGUCGGCAGGGAGGGGUGGCAGCGGUGCCCCAAGUGCCAGAUGUACGUGGAGAAAUCAGAAGGGUGCAAUUACAUCAAAUGCAGGUGUGGAUACAGCUUCUGCUACCGAUGCACGACCAAGUUGUCGGCGCUAAACCAUUUCUGCAACAAGUGCAAACGCUGA
rnacentral:rRNA from 1 species